rnacentral:rRNA from 1 species
CGGUAGUCCUAGCCCUAAACGAUGGGUACUAAGUGUGGGGGGAGCAUUACCCUCCGUGCUGAAGCUCACGCGUUAAGUACCCCGCCUGGGGAGUACGGCCGCAAGGCUGAAACUCAAACGAAUUGACGGGGGGCUGAACAAGCAGUGGAGCACGUGGUUUAAUUCGAUGCAAACCGAAGAACCUUACCAGGGCUUGACAUGCUAGUAGUAGCGACCCGAAAGGGGAGCGAUCCAGACUGCGGUCUGGAAGCUAGCACAGGUGGUGCAUGGCUGUCGUCAGCUCGUGCCGUGAGGUGUCGGGUUAAGUCCCUUAACGAGAGCAACCCCUAUCCUUAGUUGCCAGCGGGUCCUUAAUGGACGCCGGGUACUCUAAGGAGACUGCCGCCUUAAAAGCGGAGGAAGGUGGGGAUGACGUCAAGUCAUCACGCCCCUUAUGCCCUGGGCUACACACGUGCUACAAUGGCUGGGCACAAUGGGGAUGCGGCUCCGCGAGGAG